UGAGGAAUAUUGGUCAAUGGGCGUGAGCCUGAACCAGCCAAGUAGCGUGCAGGAAGACGGCCCUAUGGGUUGUAAACUGCUUUUAUGCGGGGAUAAAGGAGUCCACGUGUGGAUUUUUGCAGGUACCGCAUGAAUAAGGACCGGCUAAUUCCGUGCCAGCAGCCGCGGUAAUACGGAAGGUCCGGGCGUUAUCCGGAUUUAUUGGGUUUAAAGGGAGCGUAGGCCGCGUUUUAAGCGUGUUGUGAAAUGUAGACGCCCAACGUCUGCAUCGCAGCGCGAACUGGGACGCUUGAGUACGCGCAACGUUGGCGGAAUUCGUCGUGUAGCGGUGAAAUGCUUAGAUAUGACGAGGAACUCCGAUUGCGAAGGCAGCUGACGGGGGCGGCACUGACGCUUAAGCUCGAAGGUGCGGGUAUCAAACAGG
rnacentral:rRNA from 1 species